rnacentral:rRNA from 1 species
CCUACGGGUGGCAGCAGUAGGGAAUAUUGCUCAAUGGGGGAAACCCUGAAGCAGCAACGCCGCGUGGAGGAUGAAGGUUUUCGGAUUGUAAACUCCUUUUGUUAGAGAAGAUAAUGACGGUAUCUAACGAAUAAGCACCGGCUAACUCCGUGCCAGCAGCCGCGGUAAUACGGAGGGUGCAAGCGUUACUCGGAAUCACUGGGCGUAAAGAGCGCGUAGGCGGGAUAGCAAGUCAGAUGUGAAAUCCUAUGGCUUAACCAUAGAACUGCAUUUGAAACUGUUAUUCUAGAGUAUGGGAGAGUUAGGUGGAAUCCUGGUGGUGGGGGUAAAAUCGGUAGGGAUCAAGGGAAAUA